GAGCCAUGCUAUUGCUUUAGAGAAGCUUCUCCUUGUCAUCUGCUCCCUAGCCUGGAUAACACAUGGAACACUUGAAACAGAAUAUCUAGCUGAGCCCCAGACCUGAAUACAACAUGUUUAAGACCACAGAACAUCUGCAUAGGCUGUAAAUUUCGUUGAAUGAUGGAUGCAAAGAUGGAAGACAGAUGGAUAGAGGAAAAGACAGAAUCAGAUACUGGAUGAGUUAGUACUGCUGCCUGUGCUUCAGAGCUGUCUUAUUACCACAAGGCCGGCAAGCAUCAAUGUCCCCACAUCCCCCUCUGCCUCCCCCUGAAAUGUACCGAUUUAUAUGAAAAUUAAGAUUACAAAUUAAAGCCUGGCUAUCCUGGAGUUUUCCAGUUCAUCAGCCAUCCAAUAAAAAUGAUGUCAAGCCUGUAUGCAUAAUUCCCGGAAGAUUACUUUCGUCCUUACAGCUAAGCCCUGUCCCUGAUAUGAAAGAUCUCUAUCCACUUUUAUUGAAAUAAAGAACUAACAUCAUAAUCCCAA
rnacentral:lncRNA from 1 species